rnacentral:lncRNA from 1 species
UAAUAAAGCACUAGGGCACCUGCCGGAUGAAUGCGUGCGAGUGGGCAUCCAUCUUGAAAACACACGCUGAAGGGGAUGCUGCCAAGUGACAGGAGAGAAGCGGAGAGCAGAGGGAUCUGGAACUGGGGAGGCUGGUGUGGGGAAGGGAGGGAAAAAGGUCCCUGCCCGCACAGCCCAAGUCAUAGUAAAAUGAAGAAUCCCUCCCCUGGUUCGUUCAUCUGUCGUUGAUGCACAAUCAAGAGCAUCCUGUCGGGCUGUAUCACCGCCUGGUACGGCAACUGCUCCACUCACAACCACAAGGCUCUCCAGAGGGUAGUGAGGUCUGCACAACGCAUCACCGGGGGCAAACUACCUGCCUUCCAAGACACCUACACCACCCAAUGUCACAGGAAGGCCAAAAAGAGCAUCAAGGACAACAACUACCCGAGCCACUGCCUGUUCACCCCGCUAUCAUCCAGAAGGCGAGGUCAGUAGUGGUGCAUCAACGCUGGGACCGAGAGACUGAAAACCAGCUUCUAUCUCAAGGCCAUCAGAUUGUUAAACAGCCAUCACUAACAUUGAGUGGCUGCUGCCAACAUAUGGACUCAAAUCUCUAGCCACUUUAAUCAUUAAAAAUUGGAUGUAAUAAAUGUAUCACUAGUCACUUUAAACAAUGCCACUAUAAUGUUUAUAUACCCU